GGAGCAUCGAGUAGGUCCGCUUCGGCGGAUCGAAAGAUCUCGAGAUUCGCCCGCACUUCGGCCCUCUGGUUCACGUCAUUUGUCUUCUGCUCUUUGACAAUUGAGAUGAUGGAUGUGCUGCGCAUGGCCGCAAGGCGUGCGCAGGGUGUGAGGAAUCAACACCGAACAACAAACGAAUUGA
rnacentral:misc_RNA from 1 species